rnacentral:rRNA from 1 species
UACGAAGGGGGCUAGCGUUGUUCGGAAUUACUGGGCGUAAAGCGCGUGUAGGCGGGUCUUUAAGUCAGGGGUGAAAUGCCAAGGCUCAACCUUGGAACUGCCUUUGAUACUGGAGACCUUGAGUCCGGGAGAGGUGAGUGGAAUUGCGAGUGUAGAGGUGAAAUUCGUAGAUAUUCGCAAGAACACCAGUGGCGAAGGCGGCUCACUGGCCCGGAACUGACGCUGAGACGCGAAAGCGUGGGGGGCAAACAGG